UGGCUCAGGAGCUGGGAUUACUCCUGAGCUGGCCAAAAAACUGUUUGUUUAUAAUGAGGCUCUUCAUCGGGAUCACACUUACGUUAUUUCAAAGACUGAAUUACUGCCUUACACACUGUGUCUCUCCUCCAAAUGUAAACAAACAAGGGAAAUAUUUAUAAAAACUAUAAAUCAGUAAUAAAUGACAGCUUUUGCUUUUGUCUUUAAUAUUUGAAAUCAAGUAACUUUGUUUGAGAAAUGAAUUAUGGUACAGCAACUGAAUGAUUUGUUUGAAAAAGGGAGGCAUUCAGUAAUUGAAGUUCUACUGUAAUUUGAUUUUCAUUCUCAAUCAGUCUCAUUCUAUUUAGCAAUCAUUAGGAUUAUUCUUACUUUCACAGAGAGAGAGAGAGAGAGAGAGAGAGAGAGAGAGAGAGAGAGAGAGAGAGAGAGAGAGAGAGAGAGAGAGAGAGAGAGAGAGAGAGAGAGAGAGAGAGAGAGAGAGAGAGAGAGAGAGAGAGCUCUGAUUUAAGGCAGGAUUUACUGUAGGUAUACGUGUGAUGCUAACAGCAGGUAAAUGUGACCAUGACCGAUACUUGUCAAAGCAAUGUAAAACUCGAGGUGAUAAUGUGCAUAACUCAGGAUGGGAAGAAUUUAGGACUAGGUGUGAAACUCGUGAGGGUACUGUAUGUAUACUUGUUGUCUUAUCUGAAAUAUAAUAGUACAAAUGUGCUAAUUUUUUUUUUUUUUUAUUGUGGAUUUUUUACAUUAUUUUCUGAAACCAAUAAACUUUUUCUCAUAGGUUCCUCAGUCACCAUAAGGCACGUUUACCAUAACUAACACUACAUUGGAAUGAAUCAUGUUCAUUGUCACAUAUCCUGCUGUACUUUCAAUGUCAUUCCCUUUACAAGUACAUUCUGGGACCCUUUGCCUGCAUUGUAUUUCCUCUUGUUGAAGUGAGGAGUUUCACGGAAUCUUCACACCUGAAACGACUCUUUAGUAUUCUUUUCCUUUUAAAGGAGGAAAAAUGAGUGGGCCUUUUUUUCAGAAUUUGUUUCUUUGUUCAUGGGUCUUCCUCUCUUGUGCAUAAGAAAUGUAUCUCUAGCAGAAGUAAUAUGGUGCCCAUUCAACAGCUAUGACCUAACAGCUGUCUGAUCAUAAAUACAACUUUGGUACCAAUCAUGUGGUGGAAAAUAUUUUGUCUGUGCACUGCCAUGGCUACAAGAAUGUACAACAGAAAAUGCUGGGUGUGUUCAAGACCCAAGUUUGAUUUUGGUAUGACUUUCCUCAAGGAAGACUACCAAUUAAGGCUACCAAAGAACAAACUCACAUCUAUGGAUUCUGUGUCCUUGAUAAACAAAUUUUUAUUCCCUUCUAGCCUGCUUAAUUAACAUCUUGUGAAGAAAUUAUAAAUAAAAAAAAAUUCAUGCUGCUUUAAUUUUGGAAUGUGCCAUUUUUUGAGGCUGACUGCACAAUGAGAUGAAGCUUCCCUGUGAGUGCAUCUCAUGGUGGGUGGUAGAGUUGUCACACCCUAUGCCAUAUCAAAAUUAGGGCAUCUGCAAAGGUCUGAAUUGUCAGUAAUCACCAGCUGUUUUAAUGUAGGACUUAGCAUAUGGCAUAUGCUCUGGAGAUGCAUAUUCUGAAAUUGCCUCUAGUGAUACAUCUUGUUGUAUUGUAUCUAUAUGCAGCAAAAUAUUAAUCCUAAGUGUUUAUGUUAACAGCAUCCAUGGGAUCUGGUGAUACUUACUCUACAGAAGUUAUUAUAAGCUAAAGACUUAUUUCUAGUCUCUUGCUACAUAUCUAGUUUAAGACAUUUUUCCACUGGUUGCCAAAUCCCAUAAAAAAACUAAACAAGUAUUCUUUGUGCUGCAGGAAUACUGUGACAGCCAAAACUGUGCUGAGAUAAAAGGACUGGUUGACAUAAGACACACUGAUUUCUUCAAAACACCAAAAACACCUGAGGUGGGAAAUAUGAGUUUGAAGUGUUGCUGUAAAACCUUGGUCUAUACAUGUGCUGUGGUUGAUUGUACAAAAAAAUCAUGAUAGAAGGACCAAGGUGUGAAAGGAUGGGUUGUAUUUCCAAAGAAAAAAGCAACAACUCAGAGAAGACAUUGGGAGACACAAAGUACACAGACAAGCGGCACCUCUGGGAAGGCUUUGGGAGACACAAUGUACACAGACAAUCUUCAUCAGAGUCCUGCUAAGAUAUAGUAUUAAAACAAGGUUGUUUCUUUCAUAUGUGACAGGAUUUCUAAAGUUGUUUGUUAAUUGCAUAACUUGAAUGGAUAAAGUAAAUUUAUAUAGAGAGGAAAAUAACAUUCAUCCAUAUCUACUUCAUUUCUUUCACAUACAACCUGCUUCUUAUAGUAGCAUUUACAAUGCUUCUUACUACCCAGCAGUCUAAUCCCACAUUCAAAACAAAUUCAUUCAUAUUCCACCCUAUGGUGACCUAUGGUAACUCACUGGCAACCCUGUCUUCCUUAGCUGAGACUGUCAUUCUUUCUUGAGAAGUACUUCUGUGCAGACUCUGGUUCCUACAGUACUCUCAUUUUCAUUACCCAGCUGUCACUCAUUUUUCUAACCUAACUACUCCCACCCACACAUGCUUCUUCUCCCCCCCCUCCAGUCCACAAGGAACAGUGGAGCAUGAGGACACACAACUCCAGUGCCUCUUACUACCAGCACCAGAUCCACUUUGUCAGCCCACAACUUCAGUCUGUGGCAAUGGGAUCUUUGGCCACAGCACAAGAUCUUGAUCCAAGGAUCCCUGGUCCUACAUGGCCUGCAAUCUCCACCAGAAUUCCUGAUGAUCCCUGGGGAGAUGAUUCCGAGGAUGAGUCUGACACUAGAGCCAACACAGAGGAUUCAGUUCCAGUUUUCCAUACUAUGAUGGCCUACAUUACCUGAUCUUUUCCUGAGGUGCUAGGGAAUGCAUAGAAAGAUCACUGCCCAGCUCCACCUGGGAAGGUCAGGCAUCAGAGGAUCGACACAUUCGGUUCACCAGGAUGCAGCCUAUGGAUUAUUCCUUUAAUGCAGCCACCAAGGGUUCACUUCUGGAUAAUGAGGGAUCAAGGCCCUCCCUUGCCCAUUACCCAUCCAACAGGUACAAGAAGAUUUACUCUGUAAGUGGGCAUGAAUCAGUAUGGAAAGCGGCCAAGCUGAACAUGCAUUGCCCUUACUACUAGGGGUAAGGAUCUUCAGGUGGUGGUCCAGCAUGUAGACAUGACCCACCUCAAGGGAAUCUUAGCAUGCCAACUUGAGGCACAGAACUUUCUGUUCUGGGGUGUGGGUGCAUUCUACAAGCUCUUUCCAUCCCUCCAACCUGCACAAGAGGAUAUGCUUCUAGCAGAUCAACUGUUUCGGAGCAUUCAGUUUGCCAUGGUGGACACAGCAAAGGAUUCAGCUAUUGCUUUAGCUGAUAUUAAGGCCAUGAGGAGGGAGGCAAUCCUCUCUCACCUUCCACCAGCAUUUAAGUCAGAACUUGACUCUGCCUAACUGUUUGAUGAGGACAGGGUUAAGGAAACUGUUCUGGCAGCAGAUAAGGCUGCUUCCAUUUCUUUCCAGCAAGCAGCAACUCGGGCACUGGUUAAGCCAUGGCCAUCUCCGAGCACUCCUUUGGUGAAUUAUGGUUUGUGGACUAACCCUUCAGGGUCUUCUGCUUUUUGCUGGCCUGCCUACUUGCAUCACAACUUGACCUUGUCUUCAUAAGCAAGACCAACCCAAUGUCAGAAGUCUACUCCUGGAUCUCUCCCUUAUCCUCGUCCUAAGCCACCAGGCAAGUUUUUCCACAAGUAGCUCCAUGGACCCCUGGAUUCAAGUAAGAGGUUGCCUUGCUAAGAAUCUGGACAGUUGGAUUGCCAUUGAGACAGAGGCAUGGGUUUUCCCCAUCCUCAGCCAAGGUUACAAGAUCCCCUUUGCUACACCACCAUCAGUCACCUCAAAUCCCAUCAUCUCAAGAUCAUAUUCCAAGGGCUCCAAGAAGGGCAUGGCAUUAGAAUCUGAGGUUCACCUUCUAGCAAAAGGAGCAAUAGAAGAGGCAGCAGCAACUCCAGGUUUUUACAGUCACCUUUUUGUAGCAAAUAAAGCCACCAGAGGGUUUUGCCCCAUCCUUGACCUCUCCUCCCUGAACCAGUUUGUCAUCACCACUCCAAUCAGGAUGGAAUCAGUAAGGACAGUCUGUCAGCAAUUUGCAGUCAUGACUGGAUGAUGGCCAUUGAUCUCAGGAACACUUACGUCCAAAUCCCACCCAGACAGUUGCCAAUUCCUUCGUUUUGUUUGGGAUGGUUGUUACUUCCAAUUCAAGGUCCUUUGCUUUGGGCUCACCACAGCUCCACAAGUUUUCACCACAAUGAUGGGUCUGGUUUCACAGGUUUCACAUCACCAGGUAUUCGUCUCCUCCAUUAUCUGGACGACUGGUUGCUAUUGGCACCCUCAGAACAGAAGGCUCUAGAAGCAACCAGUUGCCUUCUCAAUCUGUACACUUCCAUAGGAAUUAAAGUAAAUUGUGAAAAAUCCUUGCUGACCCCCUUUUUUUAGGGAUGGAGAUUCUUUCUCCUCUAUUGAAGGUUUUCCUGACACAGCAGUGCCUGGACAAUCUUCAGCACCAAAUCAAAUCCUUUCUGUGUUCAAGCUCCCCCAGCAAGAGCACGGUUAAUGCUCUUGGACCACAUGUCCUCUCUUAUCCAUUUGAUUCCUGGGGUGAGACAGAGAAUGAGAGGCCUCCAGUUACACCUUUCCUGGUCAUGGAACUGACAGUUCCAGUGAGACGACCUUCCAGUUCCCUGAGAUGGCAAAGUUCUAAACAAUCUUUAAUGAUGGUCACCGGAUUCCAAUCUACAAAUAGGACAGUUGGCCUCUCCAGAAGCCAACUCACACACAGACUAAGAAGCACGCUCUACAUAUCAAUCUCCUCCCAGCAAGCACACCACGCUAUUUUCAUGUAGCGUCAAAGUGAAAAGGUGAAUUUUAUUUUCUAUAUAAGGGACACAUGGUAUACAUGGUGAAAAGUCAUCAACCUAACAAAGCUAUUGGGUGUUGCUUGUAUUAUGAAUGUUAAUACUUUUGUGCGAUGAUGAUACAGAACCUCACUAAAUACACUGUAAUUUACUCUUUACAAUGUGGUUGUUAAAUGUAUCAUAUUGCUAUAAUGUCUUGUUUCACUAUCGACUUCUGUUUUGUUAGGCAAAAAUUAAUGAAUUAAGAGCACCAAAGCAAGAUUUCACUGAAGACCGCAUCACAUGGGAAAUUUCUCCCAAUAUGUUAGUCAGGUUUGUUCUUUUCUGUUGUUCAUCACCUGAACAACUAUAAAGGAUUGAGUGAAAACUUAUAGAAAAAUUAUAUUAGUAAUUACAACUAUUAGAUUUUUUUAUGAGCUGACAGAAGCAACCAACUGAUCGCCACAGCUUUAAUUGUAGGCUAUUUAUUUGUCCUUAUAGGUUAAUUUCUUAUAAUUUUUAUAUUCCUUUGGGGAAGCUAGUUUAUCACUGUUACAGACAGAUGAAAAUUCCACCUGGAUCUCCUUUUGAUUACAUGUAAACUUAAAGGAAUCUUAAAAGACUAACCAAUUACACCUCUGUUUCCAGACUGUUUGACAUAAGAUGUGCAUGCAUGUCUGUGCAUUUGUGUGCUUUUUAUGCUUAUAUGUUUUUUUCAGUUUUACAGGAGUGAACAGGAAGAGCAGAAGCUAGAAUAAGCAAAAUAAAUACACACAUAGAAUGGAUAAAGCGUUAAAAGCGAUAUAAGAAGAGGAAGAAGACCUUGGACACAAGCCACUGACCAAUAUUCACAAGAUACCAACUGACUGGAGAAGCCAUACUGGGCAUGCAAGUGCUUUUUUGAGGAAAUAAAACUUCAGAAAGCUGGCAGCCUUGGAUAGCAGUGUGGCAGUUCCAAAGCACCUCAAUCAACAACUUAUAAACACUGUAUUUGUCAUCUUUAGGAAAGCACAGCCUUGGAGACAGUUUGUAGGAUUUUUAAAAAGCUUGAGAGCAGUGGUGUGGGGUAAUCAGACAGCUUGAAGGGAAAGAAGGGAAAGCUAGCAUUUACUGAUCCUCCUAUCUGCAAAGUUGUCAUCAGAACCUGAGCCUAAGAGACACAAGUGUUUAGUACAAGGGUCAUCAGAUUCUGAUGACUAGCCACAGUUGAAAUAAGGGCAGAUGCCAAGAUGCACAGUGCCCUGCAGUAUGAGGCAAUCCACCUGCACACUCCUGUCCUCAUCCUUCCAGCUCUGUGCCAGUGCCAAUUCUACUUCACUCCAAAGUAUCACUGAUUUCCCUCUUCUCAUGUACUAGGUGAAAUUUAUAUUCUUUUUAAAAUUUGUAAUAUAUUUUAAAAUUUAUUUUAUUUCUGCACUGUUACCAGGAGAGGCGCAGAGAUCAUUCUUUCUUUACCAUGCACUAUAAGGCACUCUCUCUCUCUCUCUCUCUCUCUCUCUCUCUCUCUCUCUCUCUCUCUCUCUCUCUCUCUCUCUCUCUCUCUCUCUCUCUCAAGUUAGGGAAGAUGUUCCUUUCCCUGAAUGUUUUGUUUUUGCCUGUGCUUUACCUAGUGUCCCUACUUUUCCAAAUGUGGCUAUCAAUUAGUGGCAUUUGAUAAAGGAUAUAUCUGCAGCAAGAAGGUAAAGUUUAGUAAUAAGAAUAUCAGUCAUCCCUUUCCUAAACUAUUGAGCAAACUCUCAGUUGCAUGUCUAACUUUGUUACACUUGAAUAGUUAGGCAAUAAUAAAAACACCUAAUUAUAUUUAUUCUGAGUAUCUGACUCACAUCUAUAGUUUAAAAGUAAAGAAUAAAAAAAAUAAUAAAGCACAUAGUAGAUGCUUUGAAUCUUUUAUUCAAUAUUUUUUUUUUUAACUAAGGAUCCCCUGAAUUUUUGACAAAUGUAAUUAUUUCUAUUAUUGCCUAAUUAUGGAACAGUAUUUUAGAAAGUGUUGGACAUGCAAAUGAGAGUUUGCUCAACAGUUAAAGGAAGGGAUGACUGAUAUUAAUUUAUUUGAACUGCAUAUUUUUUUACUUUUUUAAUGUUGGUCUUUAAUUUUCAAAACUGAUAUGCUUUACUUAACCCCAUGGUGUAAGGUGUCUGUUCUUAUUUGAUGAAUACCAAUAUGCAGAAAAUGUUAGUUAAAUAAAAGCUGCAAUUCUUGUUAUAUAUUUAUGGCCUACAAGGAAUGUACUAUUUUUGAUAAUAUAUAUAUAUAUAUAUUUAUGGCGCAUGUGAAAUGCAUUAUUUUUGUCAACACUUUAUGCCCUUCCUGGAAUGUACAAUAUUUGUUAAUACAUAUCAGUGCUCCUGGAAUGUAUUUUUGUUAAUAUAUACUAAUUUAUGGCCUACUUGGAAUGUACUAUUUUUGUUAAUACAUAUUUUAUACCCUUCCUUGAAUAUAUUAUUUUUGUUAAUAUACAUUCAAACCAUUCUUAGAAUGUACUUAUUUUGUUGAUAUAUAUUUAUGGCCUUCAUGAAAUGUACUAUUUUUAAUAUAUACUAUUUAUACCCAACCUUGAAUGUACUAUUUUUUUGUUAAUAUGGGCUAUUUGUGCACUAUCUGAUUAUGUACUAUUUCUGUUUCUUAAUACAUAUAUCUUACUGAGAGUAUAUUAUUUUUGAUAUAAUAAAUUUCUCUAUAUUAACAGCUGCUUUGAAUAUAGACCUUUCAUUAUCAUCACAAUGACAUUAACUAAAAGUGCUAUGUAAGUAGUUAGGAGGUGACUUUUUCAUGUACAUUUCUAUGUGGUUUUCACGUUAUUUCUGGUCUACAGAUCUAUGUUGAUUUCACACUAUAUGUAACAUUACUGCAACGAUGGUGCAAUAUGAUGAUCACGUGGUGACCACGUAGAUGUGUUUGCUGGGUUGGAGCUCAAGGCCAUUCAUCUGAGUCUGGCUCACUUUGCAGCAUACUUUCACAGCAAGACAGUGGUGGUGUUCUCAAACAAUGCCAAAGCCCUGUCGUACCUGGCCAAAGGAGGCAGGACUCGUUCCAGGAUGCUCAAUGAGGAGGCACAAGGGAUCCUUCAAUAGGUAGAAGAUCAUGCCAUUCAGAUCCUAACCCAGUUUAUGAACGGGUUGUCCAAUGUCCUGGCAGACUGCCUCAGCAAACAGGCAUAUACUUUCCACAGAAUGGACACUUCAUCAGAAUGUCUGCAGUCAGCUCUUGAGGCUUUGGAGUUAUCCAAUCGUGGAUUUGUACACAUCAAGGCUCAACUCUCAACUUCCAAAUCUCAUUUCUCUGUUCCAAGAUCCAAUGGAAAUAGUCAAGGAUGCUUUCCUGUACAGCUGGAAUCAUUAGGAAUUGUACACCUUUUCCCCCUUCCCGCUGAUCAGGAAGGUUCUCAACAAGCUGAGGUUUACCUGUCAUGCCAACCUCAUCCUGAUUGCACCAUUCUGUCCAUAGAGAGAAUGGUUUCUAGAUCUUAAACAGGCCUCAGUGGACACUCCUUGGCACCAUCUGCAGCACAGAGACUUUCUUUGUUAGCCACACGCUUGCAAGUUCCAUUAGGCUCUACCCAUGCUACGUGAAAACUGUCAAGUGAGUCCUCAGACACCGAGGCUAUUCUUCUGGAGUUAUGAAAUGGCAAAAUGGCAAAAUCUAAAUGACCUCCUACACUUAUGAACUACCAAUAUAAGUGGAAGAGGUUCA